rnacentral:rRNA from 1 species
GAUGAACGCUAGCGGCAGGCCUAACACAUGCAAGUCGAGGGGGAGGUUACUUUCGGGUAACUGAGACCGGCGUACGGGUGCGUAACGCGUAUACAAUCUUCCUUUCACUGGGGGAUAGCCCGAAGAAAUUUGGAUUAAUACCCCAUAGUAUAGUAAUACGGCAUCGUGAUGCUAUUAAAGCUUAGGUGGUGAAAGAUGAGUAUGCGUUCUAUUAGCUAGUUGGAGAGGUAACGGCUCCCCAAGGCGAUGAUAGAUAGGGGUUCUGAGAGGGAUGUCCCCCACACUGGUACUGAGAUACGGACCAGACUCCUACGGGAGGCAGCAGUGAGGAAUAUUGGACGAUGGACGGAAGACUGAUCCAGCCAUGCCGCGUGCAGGAUGAAGGUCUUAUGGAUUGUAAACUGCUUUUGUAAGGGAAGAAUAAGGGAUACGCGUAGUUUGAUGACGGUACCUUACGAAUAAGCAGCGGCUAACUCCGUG